GGCUUAAUACAUGCAAGUCGAACGGCUGUAGCAAUACAGCAGUGGCAGACGGGUGAGUAACACGUGGGAACCUACCCAGGGGUACGGAAUAACUCAGGGAAACUUGUGCUAAUACCGUAUACGACCUAAGGGUGAAAGGGGGGGAUCGCAAGACCUCUCACUAUUGGAGCGGCCGAUAUCGGAUUAGCUAGUUGGUGAGGUAAAGGCUCACCAAGGCGACGAUCCGUAGCUGGUUUGAGAGGACGACCACCCACACUGGGACUGAGACACGGCCCAGACUCCUACGGGAGGCAGCAGUGGGGAAUUUUGGACAAUGGGGGAAACCCUGAUCCAGCCAUGCCGCGUGAGUGAUGAAGGCCUUAGGGUUGUAAAGCUC
rnacentral:rRNA from 1 species